GGCCCAAUGGUCUAGUGGUACGAUGCUCGCUUUGGGUUAUGCUUUCGCUUGACGCGUUGCGAGCGGUCCUGGGUUCGAACCCCAGUUGGGCCC